rnacentral:misc_RNA from 1 species
CUCGCCAUAUGCGCCUAGGCAUGCGCCUUGCUCCAAACGCAAGGCUCUAGAAAGGUGUGCCCUCUUUAUUUCCACUUUCGACAAGCACUUCUAUUGACAAAAAGCACUAUCACUCAACUAGAAAUUUGUUGAUCUAUUAGAAUCCAAUAUUGACGCAUUAGGAAGUUAUCGAAAUGAGUAUCGUUAGUGAUAACUAGUCGCCAAAAUCUCAUCAAAUCACUACACCUAGGAUCGCAAACCUUCUAUAUUUCCAUUUUUAGCACUGCCACUCUCUUAUUAUCUUUUUCAAAAUAAAAAUUGUUGCAUCUACACCUAUUUCAAGAUCUA